UAUCGCUGAAAGAUGGACUCGCGUCCGAUUAGUUAGUUGGUGAGGUAACGGCUCACCAAGACCGCGAUCGGUAGCCGGACUGAGAGGUUGAACGGCCACAUUGGGACUGAGACACGGCCCAGACUCCUACGGGGGGCAGCAGUGGGGGAUAUUGCGCAAUGGGGGCAACCCUGACGCAGCAACGCCGCGUGAAGGAUGAAGGUUUUCGGAUUGUAAACUUCUUUUCUUAAGGACGAAAAUUGACGGUACUUAAGGAAUAAGCUCCGGCUAACUACGUGCCAGCAGCCGCGGUAAUACGUAGGGAGCAAGCGUUGUCCGGAUUUACUGGGUGUAAAGGGUGCGUAGGCGGCAAUGCAAGUCAGAUGUGAAAUCUAUGGGCUCAACCCAUAAACUGCAUUUGAAACUGCGUUGCUUGAGUGAAGUAGAGGCAGGCGGAAUUCCCCGUGUAGCGGUGAAAUGCGUAGAGAUGGGGAGGAACACCAGUGGCGAAGGCGGCCUGCUGGGCUUUAACUGACGCUGAGGCACGAAAGCGUGGGUAGCAAACAGGAUUAGAUACCCUGGUAGUCCACGCUGUAAACGAUGAUUACUAGGUGUGGGGGGUCUGACCCCUUCCGUGCCGGAGUUAACACAAUAAGUAAUCCACCUGGGGAGUACGGCCGCAAGGUUGCAACUCAAAUGAAUUGACGGA
rnacentral:rRNA from 1 species